rnacentral:rRNA from 1 species
UUCUUAAAAGUGGCGCACGGGUGAGUAAGACGUAGGUGACCUGCCCUGGAGUGGGGGAUAACAGUUGGAAACGGCUGCUAAUACCGCAUGAUACCGAGACACUGGGAAGUGACUUGGUGAAAACUCUGGUGCUUCAGGAGGGGCCUGCGGCCGAUUAGCUAGUUGGCGGGGUAAGAGCCCACCAAGGCGACGAUCGGUAGCUGGUCUGAGAGGACGAUCAGCCACACGGGAACUGAGACACGGUCCCGACUCCUACGGGGGGCAGCAGUGAGGAAUAUUGGGCAAUGGGCGCAAGCCUGACCCAGCAACGCCGCGUGGAGAAAGACGGCCUUCGGGUUGUAAACUCCUUUUACGGGGAAGAGGAAGGACGGUACCCCGAGAAUAAGUCACGGCUAACUACGUGCCAGCAGCCGCGGUAAUACGUAGGUGACAAGCGUUAUCCGGAAUUACUGGGCGUAAAGCGCACGCAGGCGGCGCAUUAAGUCUGACGUGAAAUCUCCCGGCUUAACUGGGAGGGGUCGUUGGAGACUGAUGUGCUUGAGGCGAUGAGAGGGGUGUAGAAUUCCCGGUGUAGUGGUGGAAUGCGUAGAUAUCGGGAGGAAUACCAGUGGCGAAAGCGACACCCUGGCAUUAGCCUGACGCUCAUGUGCGAAGGCGUGGGGAGCGAACGGGAUUAGAUACCCCGGUAGUCCACGCGGUAAACGAUGAAUACUAGGUGUGGGUGGAGUGAAAUCCAU